UACGGGGGGGGGCAAGCGUUGUUCGGAAUUACUGGGCGUAAAGGGCUCGUAGGCGGCCAACUAAGUCAGACGUGAAAGCCCUGGGCUUAACCUGGGAAUUGCAGUCGAUACUACUCAGCUAGAGUAUGGGAGAGGGUAGUGGAAUUCCCGGUGUAGCGGUGAAAUGCGUAGAUAUUGGGAGGAACACCAGUGGCGAAGGCGGCUCACUGGACUGGUACUGACGCUGAGGCGCGAAAGCGUGGGGAGCAAACGGG
rnacentral:rRNA from 1 species